UACGAACUGUGCGAACGUUAUUCGGAAUCACUGGGCUUAAAGGGUGCGUAGGCGGCGCCUCAAGUCAGGUGUGAAAUCCCCCGGCUCAACCGGGGAACAGCGCUUGAAACUGGGGUGCUCGAGCGAGGCAGGGGUGUGUGGAACUUCCGGUGGAGCGGUGAAAUGUGUAGAGAUCGGAAGGAACGCCGGCGGCGAAAGCGGCACACUGGGCCUUGACUGACGCUGAGGCACGAAAGCCAGGGGAGUGAACGGG
rnacentral:rRNA from 1 species